UGGUUUUGCAGUCGAACGGUACGGUNNGACGAGUGACGGGUGAGUAGUGUCUGGGAACUGCCUGAUGGAGGGGGAUACUACUGGAAACGGUGCUAAUACCGCAUACGUCGCGACCAAAGAGGGGGACCUUCGGGCCUCUUGCCAUCGGAUGUGCCCAGAUGGGAUUAGCUAGUAGGUGGGGUAACGGCUCACCUAGGCGAACNGGAGUUCCCCCCUUUAAGACCCUUGAGGUCCUUGAAGGCAAGAGGGACUUGAACU
rnacentral:rRNA from 1 species